CUACACACGAAGCGCGGGCGGGAGGCCUGCGGGCUGCACAGGCCUUCAGGAAAGCACGCUCUGUGUGGCAGUGUGAUCACCACUCCCAGCAGGAAGCCGCGGUGUCCGGAGCCAGGAGCAGCCCUCGGUUCCCGUCCCCCUGGCUUCCCUGGUUGGGGUCUCUUGGCAGCGAGGACACCUCCCAGAGCUCAUGGGCUGGCAGGACUUCAGCAGGACCUACACCCCAAACCAACUUCCCCACCGGCGACCUCCAAGCUGCAAAUUCAGGGAAGCAACACCACCCCUGAAACGGCCACUUUAUUGAGAAGGACUUCAUGGUGGUGAGCCGGGGUCACAGACACUGACAGAGGGGCCGGUAAGAUGGAGGUGCUGACCAGGAAGGAGGAGAGGAAGGAGAGGAGAGACCCCUGCCUGAUCCAGUACCUUCCUGAAAUGUAGAUGCGGUGAAGCCACUUGGCGCUAGAAGCAUCCCCGUCCUGGCACUCUGACAGGAAGGCCCUCUGGAAGCUGCGAGGUUCUGACAGCUCUGCCCUGGGCUUCGGAAGAAACCAUGAGUUGGAGUCGCCCACAUUUCCUGAGCGUUCCUGUUCCCAGGCUCUGUUCGGUAUCAGUAAGAGAUUAUCAAUAAGAGGUUGCCUGUCGCCCUGAGGGGUGGGGUUUCCAGUUCACUGGGGGUCCGUCCUGUUGGCCCUGGGAGAAGGAACUGCAGUUCUCCAAUAGCUGAAGGAACCUGGCUGAUAGGCCAUCUCUGUUGUCCAACAGUGUCUACUGUGGGUCAGGAAAUUGGGAUGUUAUUCCUGGGGUCAGGACUCGCUGGAGGCUAAUUUAGGGCUUGUCAGUUUUCCUCUUUGGGUCUUUUUCCUUAGUCACCACAUGUGGGGUGAGUGAACUCACCAAUACACCUUUCUCUGGUAUUAUGGUUUGGAUGUGAGGUGUCCAUCAAAAGCUCACGUGCGAGACAAUUCAAGAAGGUUUGGAGGAGAAAUGAUUGGGUUAUAGCCUUAACGUAUUGAGCAGAUUAAUCCCCGAUGGGAUUAACUGAGUGGUGGGGUGUGACUGGAGGAGGUGGCUCUUUGGGGGCUCACCUUUGAGGUGUCUAUUUUGCAGAGAGAGUUUAGGCUCUCUCUCUGCGUCCCGAUCAUCAUGCGAGCCACUUCCCUCCCCCAAGUCUUCCGCCAUGAUGUUCUGCCUCACCCUGAGCCCCGAGGAAGGGAGCCUGCUGUCUAUGGACUGAGACCUCUGAACCGUGAGGUUUCUACAGUUGUUCUGGGUAGGUCAUUUAGUCCAAGCCAGUGAAAAAACAGGCUAAAACACCUGCAUCCACACACAGGUGAACACAGGGGAUGUUUGUUUGGGGGUUGACUUUUGGGGACAGUGGGGGAAAGCCUCGUCCACCAGAGAGGUGGGUGAGAACUGGAGGUAAAAGUGAACGUGGAACAGAGGACUUGCUGGUGGGGAGGGGGUCGUGUGUGUUAGGGGCUGUGAGGACAAAGGAACAGGGGUGGGUGCAGGAACAGAAAGGGAGGCGCUCAGAUGCCCUGGGCGUGUUCUGGAGAAAGAUGGAUGUGGAUGAGCAGCAUUUCUGCAGAAGGGACAGGUGGAAGAGGUUAACAGGAAAGGGUCCUUGAAACCGGAAGUUCGUCAGGCCCUAGCAGGAGAUGUGGGCUGAGGAGGGAGCUGUUUCCAGAUCUGCAGGGCUGCCUCUGGCACUGUGCCUGAGCUCUGCUGCCCCUCCAGGGAUGCGUCACAGUCGAUGUUAACCAAACAGGCAUCUGGGCUGCACUCUGCUCCUGGGCUCCCCAGACCUCAGCCACGCUAAACUUCUAGUCAGUUUUCUGAGAGAUCCCAUUGGGGAAGAGUCCAGAGGCAGGAUGGCAGAGGGGGUAGUAGAGUGUCAGAGAAGACUGGACCAAGUGUCUUCCAGGUGCUUUCUGCUCUGUGGAAACCUGCUCUCAGGUGCCAGACUGAGCUGGGUGCCGUGCACGCCUGUCAUCCCAGUGACUUUGGAGGCUGAGGCAGGAGGAUUGCAAGUUCAAGGCCAACCUGGGCCAUUUAGUGAGACCCAAAACAAUUUAGUGAGACCCCGUCUCUAAAUAAAAUAUGGAAAGGGCUGGGGAUGUGGCUCAGUUGUUAAGCGCCUCUGGGUUCAAUCCCCAGUAUCAAAUAAUCAAUCAAUGUCAGACUUCCCAAACCUAAAACGGGGACAGUUGGGGUUCAGGCGGGGGCAGAGUACAGGAGGAAGGUCAGGGAAGCUGGUGGUACGGCUGGGAUAGGAGACGUCCCCCAGAGGCUCCUGUGUUGGUGGACAGGAGAAGGCUGCCGGACACACUGGUGUGCCCCUCGAGCGCCCGAGUCUGGAUGCGCUGGGAACACCAGCCAGCACCUGCGUGUGACGAGCCGCCUCUGGCAGGCACUGCUUUGAGCACAGUGGGCUCGGGUCACCCUCUCCCCAGCCCUGCAAAGCAGAUGGGUCUGGUUGUGGUUCCCAGGUGAUGGAUGAGGAAACCGAGGCAGAGGCUGAUUCGGCGAGUCGCUCACAGUGACACAGAGAGCAAGCCCUAAGUGUCUGUGGUUCUCACAAAUCUGCACACACGUAGCAGUUUAAGCCACACUGCCUCUGGUCCCCCAUCAGCUGGGAGUCAGGAAGUGGGUGCUGCUUGGCUGACUGAUGGGGCUCGGGGUCCCUGGUGGGUUGCAGUCUGGAUGUCCGCCAGGGCUGGGGUUUAGCCUGCAGACUUGCCCGCGGAAGGAUCUGUUUCCAAGCUUCUGUGGUUGCUGGCCAGCGGCCACUCCUGGAGGCUGUGGGAGUGACGGUCUCAGUCCUGCUGACGGGGCCACUCUGUGCAGCCCUCAUACGCGGCUCGCCUCUGCAGAGCCAGCCAGGGAGGGCGCCUGCCCAAAGGGCAGAUGCAGCACCGUCACCUGACGCCCCACCCGUGCCACGCUCUACUGGCUAUAAGCGUCACGUGUGCCUUGCUCACCCAAGGGGAGGACGCACACAAAGACACCAGGGGCCAGGGACAUGGCAGCACUUCUUAGAACCUGUCUGCCACAGUCAGUGUGUGCUGUUCGAACCCAGGCAGGGUGCACCAAAGCCUCCGUACCCAGCCAUGGGCUCUCCUGCUCUUCAGCCUCUGUCACGUGAGAACAUGCCUGAGGUAGACACGUGGAGGAGGACAGUCAGCUUAGCUCACGGUUUCGGAGGUCUCUGUCCACGUCACCUGGCCGUGCUGCUUUGGGCCUGUGGCAAGGCAGAACCUCAUGGCAGGGGCAUGUAAAGAGCAGCUGCUCGCCUCCUGGCGACCGGAAGCAAGAAGAAGAGGGGACAGGGUGGGGGUCCCAUAUCCCCUUCAAAGCACACCCAGUGACCCAGCUUCCUCCCACCAGGCACCACUUCCCAAGGCUUCCACCAUGUUAUGGUUUGGAUGUGAGAGACAGUGCAGGAAGGUUUGGAGGAGAAAUGACUGGGCUCUGAGAGCCUUAACCCAACCCGUGAUCAGUCACCUGAUGGGAUCAACCAGGUGGUAACUGGUGGCGGGUGGGGUGUGGCUGGAGGAGGUGGGCAUUGGGGUGUGGUGUGGGGUACGCAUUUGUCUCUGGUGAGUGGAGUCUCUCCGCUUCCUGAUCACCCUGUGAGCUGCUUCCCUCCGCCACACUCUUCCUUCAUGAGUUUCAGCCUGGCCUCGAGCCCUGAGGAUUGGAGCUGCUGUCUGUGGACUGAGACCUCCGACACCGCGAGCCCCCACGUGAACUUUCCCUCCUUCACUGUUGUUCUGGUCGGGUCCUUUCGUCACAGCUUGGAAAAAGCUGACUAGAACACACCGCCUCACAAGAGCUGGCGACCACGCCCUUAGCACAUGGGCCUUGGGACAACACUCUUCCAAACCAAGCCCAGCGCCCUUCUCUGGUGACGUCCUCCACGCCUGCCGGCCCCAUCCCUGUGUCGUGCGUCCUUAUCCCUCCCUCUGCAGAGCCCUCAGGGGCAGCCAGCUUCCGCGGGCUUUCGGCAACGCGGUGCUGACGCGACCUUUGAUGAUCCGCUGUCAACAGAUUCCUAAGCUCUCCAGACUGGACUGGGCAGGGCCCCACAGGAGGCAGAGGGCACGCUUCAGUCAGAGGAGGCUCCUCACAGAGAGCUGCUGGACUGGCCAGGAGAGGGCAGGCGCAGGGAGGCCUCCCAGGAGCCUUGGCAAAGCCACCAUGCUGUCACUCCCACCAGGUCCAACGUGGAGAGUCGGGAGAGGCCAUGGGAAGCCAGAAGGCGAGUCCUGGGGAUGAGGCUCCUCCAGCGGAGACUGCAGACAGAGCCAGGGCCAUAGGAACCUCACUGUGCCUCCUCCCUCCUGACCUCCUGCCGGGGCUCCUCGCUGGACACACCGCCCAGAAGCAGAGGACAGGAGCUGUCAUGCAAUCCGUGCAGUCCGGGGCUGCCUAGCUCCCCAGGCCGAGCAGGGCAGGGCCCCGCAGCUCUGGGACACAGGACUGCCCCCACCCCACCCUGGACCGUCCUCUGCAGGUUGGCCAGGCUGAACCUUUUGGGGAGAACUUGAAACUGAAGUUUUAAGAGCUGGAUAAACUGAACACCAAUCAGAAGGGGAAACGGAGCCGUCUCCAAGCUGAGUGGCAAGGUGUGGUCAGUCCACUCAGCGUGUAUUUGCCCCAGACUGUCAGGAUCGCGGCUGUGGCCUGAGCAAGGCGGGCCUGUCGUCUGUGCUGUUCUGAAGCUUCCGUGGCGCACGCUGUGGACCCCAAGCCCAGGGUCUGUUUGGCACUCGUGACACUACUCCUGUGUGGCACCUGUGUGGCACUGUGGUGCCUUGCAGAUGACUUUGAAUGCAGUCUCCACCUGCUAAGUGUGACCUACUUCCUGGGAGCCAUUGAUUUCACUGGCACUUAAGGGAGCCAUCAGAAAUAAGGACUUCUCAAGCAGGAACCGGCGUUAGCCUGCCCUGCUUCCCCUUUCCACAGGUCCUUGCUGAGAAAGUCAGGGGACACAUGGGGGACGUCCAGCACACUGUCCUGCUCGGGCUGUGCUUGGAGGAGGCCAAGUGCGCUCUUCUGCUUAUGUAAUUAGUGUGAAGUGCCAACCCCGGAAGGCUACUGUGCAGCCCCAGAGGAGGCAGUGGUGAGCAGCCACUGUGAGUGACAUCGGGAAAGACUUCAGCUCACCUGAGAGGAUGUGCAUCCUAGGCAGUUGAGUGUGUUGGGCGGGGACUUAGAAAAGAGUACCGUAGUGAACCGGGUGUGGGGGCCCAUGCCUGUCAUCCCCGCAGCUCUGGGGGCUGAGGCAGGAGGAUCGCAAGUUCAAAGCCAGCUUCCAGCAACUUAGCCAGGCCCUAAGCAACUCGGUGAGACCCUGUCUCUAAAUAAUAUGUUUAAAAAGAGCUGAUGAUGUGGCUUGUUGGUUAAGUGCCCCUGGGUUCCAUCCCAGGAAAGAAAGAAAAGAGAGAGAGAGAGAGAGAGGGAGGAAGGAAGGAAAAGAGAAGGAGUAUUAUAGUGAAACUCCAUUUUUAAAGAAAUCCAAUGUAUGUGCGUGCUUGUGUGUGUGUGUAUUUUUGUCAUGAAACAGUACCACGAGCUAUCUUAUCAGGUGGGGUUUCUUGUAAUUAUCAUUAUCAUUUCACUUAUUUAC